UGCAAAUACACAAAAGUAUCAAAACUUUAUGUAAUUGCAUAAAAGGCCCCAAAAGUACCCCCACUAGGGGUGGCCGGUUUUGGAAGAGGAUAUGAUGUGAUGUGUGUUGAUUUGUGAGUUUUAGACAUAAAGCAACAAGUGGUGCAAGUGGUGUGUGUGAAAGGGAAUUAAUCCUUACACACCCAUCACCAUUUCCAUCACCAUUCAAAUAAAUAUCUUAUGCAAUAAAUCAUUUGAAAAACAUAAAACACAAACUUUAUGAAAUAAAUCAAAACUUUGAAUCAAAACACAAACCUUUUUGUUCUUGGCAAAAAUGUCAAGAACAAUGAAGAACAUUCAUGAAAAACCCAAAAUUUUUCCAUGAACUUUUUUCACCCAAAAACAUUCCAAAACCAUUCAAACUUUAGGGAAAUAACAUCUAACCAAACUAGGGUACAUAAGGGUUCCAAAAGUCACUUGAAAACACUUUUAACAAGUCAAACAAGAACCCAAAAAUCCACCCUUUGUAUUUGGCCGAAAAUUCCCAAAGUCAUGGCACCAAAUUUUAGCUCCAAUAUUCAUGCUCAUAUGAACUACAUCUACAACAUUUGAGAUGGCAAAUUUUCUAGCAAAAUUUACAUUCAAAAAACAAGAAUAAAGCUUGUAACAAUUACAACUUUUAAAUCACAAACUAUGAACCACAAAACCCAAAAGGAUUCACCAACUACUAGACCUAGGCUCUGAUACCACUUGAAGGAAUAUUUUGUGAAAAACAUGUUCAUUUAAGCAACAUCAUAUAGCAUGCAAUUAACAAUUAAAGGCGGAAUCAUGCUAGCAUGCA
rnacentral:lncRNA from 1 species